rnacentral:tRNA from 1 species
AAUGGAGUGGCUGAGAUUAAGCGAAAGAUUGUAAAUCUUUUUACGAAUAAUUUUUAUUCCUUCAUUA